rnacentral:rRNA from 1 species
CCCUUAGAUGUUCUGGGCCGCACACGCGCUACACUGAAGGAGGCAGCGUGUACUCCUGGAUCGAAAGAUUUGGGUAACCCGCGAAUCUCCUUCGUGCUAGGGAUUGAGGUUUGCAAUUAUCCUUCAUGAACGAGGAAUUCCCAGUAAGUGCAAGUCAUAAGCUUGCGCUGACUACGUCCCUGCCCUUUGUACACACCGCCCGUCGCUACUACCGAUUGAAUGGUCCGGUGAAAUCUUCGGAUCUGAGAGAUGUUGGAUUAAUUUCUGACGCCUUUUGGAAAAGUCGCUUAAACCUUAUCAUUUAGAGGAAGGUGAAGUCGUAACA